rnacentral:rRNA from 1 species
GACGAACGCUGGCGGCGUGCUUAACACAUGCAAGUCGAACGGAAAGGCCCUGCUUGUGUGGGGUGCUCGAGUGGCGAACGGGUGAGUAACACGUGAGUAACCUGCCCUUGACUUUGGGAUAACUUCAGGAAACUGGGGCUAAUACCAGAUAGGAGCUCCUGCUGCAUGGUGGGGGGGGGAAAUUUUCGGCGGUUGGGGAUGGACUCGCGGCUUAUCAGCUUGUUGGUGGGGUAGUGGCUUACCAAGGCUUUGACGGGUAGCCGGCCUGAGAGGGUGACCGGCCACAUUGGGACUGAGAUACGGCCCAGACUCCUACGGGAGGCAGCAGUGGGGAAUAUUGCACAAUGGGCGGAAGCCUGAUGCAGCAACGCCGCGUGCGGGAUGACGGCCUUCGGGUUGUAAACCGCUUUCGCCUGUGACGAAGCGUGAGUGACGGUAAUGGGUAAAGAAGCACCGGCUAACUACGUG